AUGGAGGGAAAACAACAAUGGGACAUGGUGGACCCUGGAUUCAAGCUUUGCGCUCCAGUUCUGAAGAGAGCAGCAGGUAGACCAAGGAAGAGUCAAAUCAGACCUCGCAGCGAAGGAGCUGGACUUGGAGCGAGGAAGCGUAAGUGCACAAGGUCUGGUGGGUCUGGUCAUUUCGGUAAGUAUUGUGAUAACACAGUAAAUCCAGCGUUCGGAGAGAGUUUUGAUGAAGGCUUCGAUGAAAAUGUUGGUCAGCAGCCGGUUGCCUCAACAGAUGAUGAAAAUGAUGGUCAGCAGUCGGUUGCAUCAGAUGAGGAUUUUGACGAGGUUCCAAAUGAUGAUGGUCAAUAG
rnacentral:rRNA from 1 species